rnacentral:rRNA from 1 species
GAAGUUGAAAUGUUUGUGAAGAUGCAAUCUACCCGCGGCUAGACGGAAAGACCCCAUGAACCUUUACUGUAGCUUUGCAUUGGACUUUGACGGGACUUGUGUAGGAUAGGUGGGAGGCUUUGAAGCCGGGACGCUAGUUCCGGUGGAGCCAACCUUGAAAUACCACCCUGGUGUCGUUGAGGUUCUAACCCAGGCCCGUGAAUCCGGGUCGGGAACAGUGCAUGGUGGGCAGUUUGACUGGGGCGGUCUCCUCCC